rnacentral:rRNA from 1 species
AUACGGAGGGUCCAAGCGUUAUCCGGAAUCAUUGGGUUUAAAGGGUCCGUAGGCGGGCAAUUAAGUCAGAGGUGAAAUCCCACAGCUCAACUGUGGAACUGCCUUUGAUACUGGUUGUCCUGAAUUAUAGUGAAGUAGAUAGAAUAUGUAGUGUAGCGGUGAAAUGCUUAGAUAUUACAUAGAAUACCGAUUGCGAAGGCAGUCUACUAACUGUAUAUUGACGCUGAUGGACGAAAGCGUGGGGAGCGAACAGGAUUAGAAACCCUAGUAGUCC